rnacentral:rRNA from 1 species
CCUACGGGUGGCAGCAGUGGGGAAUAUUGGGCAAUGGGCGCAAGCCUGAUCCAGCGACGCCGCGUGAAUGAAGAAGGCUCUCGGGUUUUAAACCUCUUUUAGCAGGGACGAAAGAAAUGACGGUACCUGACGAAUAAGCCCCGGCUAACUACGUGCCAGCAGCCGCGGUAAUACGUAGGGGGCAAGCGUUAUCCGGAUUUACUGGGUGUAAAGGGUGCGUAGACGGGAAUGCAAGUCUGAGGUGAAAUUCGAGGGCCCAACCCCUGGACUGCUUUGGAAACUGUGUUACUGGAGUAGAGGAGGGGCAGGCGGAAUUCGUGGUGUAGCGGUGAAAUGCGUAGAGAUCAGGAGGAACACCAGCGGCGAAGGCGACUCACUGGACUGUAACUGACGCUGAGGCACGAAAGCGUGGGGAGCAAACAGGAUUAGAUACCCGUGUAGUC